GUACAGCUCUCCAUAUUCUUAGCUGUGCACAGCUUUAACAAGGAGGAGUAUGAACAUCCCCUGACUCGGGGUGCGGCAGUGUGGAGACCUGUCGUAAAGCGGGCGGCAUUGCCCCUGCGAGGUCAUUCAGGCGGAGGCCGUUUGACCGGAGUCGGAAAGCAUGGCA
rnacentral:ncRNA from 1 species